rnacentral:rRNA from 1 species
AGUUCCUACGGGAGGCAGCAGUAGGGAAUCUUCCACAAUGGGCGAAAGCCUGAUGGAGCAACGCCGCGUGGGUGAAGAAGGUCUUCGGAUCGUCAAACCCUGUUGUUAGAGGAGAAAGUGCGUGAGAGUAACUGUUCACGUUUCGACGGUAUCUAACCAGAAAGCCACGGCUAACUACGUGCCAGCAGCCGCGGUAAUACGUAGGUGGCAAGCGUUAUCCGGAUUUAUUGGGCGUAAAGGGAACGCAGGCGGUCUUUUAAGUCUGAUGUGUAAGCCUUCGGCUUAACCGCAGUAGUGCAUUGGUA